rnacentral:rRNA from 1 species
AUUGAACGCUGGCGGCAGACCUAACACCUGCAAGUCGCACUAGUGGCGGACGGGUGAGUAAUGUCUGGGAAACUGCCCGAUGGAGGGGGAUAACUACUGGAACCGGUAGCUAAUACCGCAUACCAUCGGAUGUGCACAGAUGGGAUUAGCUUGUAGGUGAGGUAACGGCUCACCUAGGCGACGAUCCCUAGCUGGUCUGAGAGGAUGAUCAGCCACACUGGAACUGAGACACGGGCCAGACUCCUACGGUAGGCAGCAGUGGGGAAUAUUGGACAAUGGGCGCAAGCCUGAUCCAGCCAUACCGCGUGGUUGAAGAAGGCCUUCGGGUUGUAAAGCCCUUUUGUUGGGAAAGCGGUACCCAAAGAAUAAGCACCGGCUAACUUCGUGCCAGCCGCCGCGGUAAUUC